rnacentral:rRNA from 1 species
AUUGAACGCUGGCGGCAGGCCUAACACAUGCAAGUCGAACGAGUGGCGGAGGGGUGAGUAGUGUCGGAGAACCUGCCCGAUGGAGGGGGAUAACUAGUGGAAACGGUAGCUAAUGGCGCAUACCGUCGGAUGUGCACAGAUGGGAUUAGCGAGUGGGUGGGGGAACGGCUCACCAAGGCGACGAUCCCUAGCUGGUCUGAGAGGAUGACCAGCCACACUGGAACUGAGACACGGUCCAGACUCCUACGGGAGGCAGCAGUGGGGAAUAUUGGACAAUGGGCGAAAGCCUGAUGCAGCCAUGCCGCGUGUAUGAAGAAGGCCUUCGGGUUGUAAAGUACUUUUAGUGGGGAGGCGUUACUCGCAGAAGAAGCACCGGCUAACUCCGUGCCAGCAGCCGCGGUAAUAC